GCUGGCUCCCUCAGCUUGCAGCUUCUCUCCUAAGGGCAUGGAGAACACGAAACCACCAGGAGGAACGAACAACUCCAGAUGCACUGCCUUAAGAGCUGUAACAUUCAGUGUGAAGGUUUGCAGCUUUACUUCUGAAGCCAGCUAGACCACAAACCCACCAGAAAGAAGAAACUCCAAACACAUCUGAACAUCAGAAGGAACAAACUCCGGACACGCUGCCUUUAACAACUAUGACACUCACCACGAGGGUCUGCGACUUCAUUCUCGAAGUCAGUGAGACCAAGAACCCACCAAUUCCGGACACACUUAACAGACAUUGUGCUAGGCACUUUAUUCACUUAUCUGUAAUAAGACCGUGAUGUUCACAGGGCACUAUUUACUCAUUGAAUUUUAGAAUUACACUAGAGGUGGAGUUUAACUUCCGUUAGUAAUACAUUAGGCUUAGUAAAUAAUUUAGUGAGCCCCUUGAGAAUGAUCUAAGAUGUGAGCACCUAAUUGUACCAGAUGUAUGGUCAAUAUUAUUUCCUGUUGGAGACUCACGAUGAGAUUACAGAGAAAUUAGAAACUAAUUAAACAUACAGGACCAAAGUUUUCAUUCCCUAGUUCAAACUCACUUGUAAAUUUUACUUUAAGAUGCAGAAAUAAUUUCUUGCUUUGAAGAAUCUGUUUCUCUCUCUUUCCUUCUCUUUCAGUUUCUCUGUUUCCCUCUCUUGUUUCUCUAUUUGCCUCUCUCUCUCCCUGCCGCCCCCACUCUUUAUGUUAUAUGCUAGCAAAAGGAUGACACAAAGAUCGAUGUUCUCUAAAACAGAUAUUGCCUGUUUGAAGAGCUAAGAACAGCCCAAUCAAAAAAUAAACUAACACUGAUUUUUCAAAAAGCCAUACAUAGCAUCAGUGAUGAGGACAUCUUUUUUUUAAUUUGUUUUGUGUUUGAGACAGAGUCUUGCUGUGUCUCCCAGGCUAGAGUGGAGUGGUGCAGUCUUGGCUAACUGUAAGCUCUGCCUCCUGGAUUCGCGCCAUUCUCCUGCCUCAGCCUCCCGUGUAGCUGGGACUACAGGAGCCUGCCACCACACCUGGCUAAUUGUUUGUAUUUUUAGUAGAGAUGGGGUUUCACCGUGUUAGCCAGGAUGGUCUCGAUCUCCUGACAUCGUGAUCUGCCUGCCUCAGCCUCCCAAAGUGCUGGGAUUACAGGCAUGAGUCACUGCACCUGGCCGAAGACAUCUUGUUUUUGUUAUUACGGCUGUUUCAUUCAAGAAACUGAAAGUUAGGACAAGAUUUAUUUCCACGUAUAUAGGUAAGAGCUGCUCAACACAAUCAAUGGAUGUCUACACUAAUUUGAAUGAAAAACGCAGGACUCCAUUUAAAUGGAAAUAUGGUAGUUUAAAAUAAAAAAAGCUGAAGUUUUAAGCAUUCCAAUUCACAAUGUGAAUUGAGUCUUUUUUAUAUAAAAUGAGAUAAUGUAAGCAAGACACUUCUGUUUUAAUUGUUAUUGCUAUUGAGGUUAUCAUC
rnacentral:lncRNA from 10 species